UGGGGAAUAUUGGACAAUGGGGGAAACCCUGAUCCAGCAAUGCCGCGUGAGUGAAGAAGGCCUUAGGGUUGUAAAGCUCUUUCGCCCGCGAAGAUAAUGACGGUAGCGGGAGAAGAAGCCCCGGCUAACUCCGUGCCAGCAGCCGCGGUAAUACGGAGGGGGCUAGCGUUGUUCGGAAUUACUGGGCGUAAAGCGUACGUAGGCGGAUGCGCAAGUUGGGGGUGAAAUCCCGGGGCUUAACCUCGGAAUUGCCCUCAAAACUGCACGUCUUGAGACCGAGAGAGGGAAGGGGAAUUCCUAGUGUAGAGGUGAAAUUCGUAGAUAUUAGGAAGAACACCUGGGGCGAAGGCGCCUUACUGGCUCGGUACUGACGCUGAGGUACGAAAGCGUGGGGAGCAAACA
rnacentral:rRNA from 1 species